rnacentral:rRNA from 1 species
AUUUUAGUCUUAUUAGAGGAACCUGUUUUUUAAUUGAUAAUCCACGAUUAAUUUUACUUAUUUAAAUAAUUCAUAUAUCGCUGUCAUGAAUAUAUUUAAAAAUUUAUUUUCUUUAUUUAUUUUUAUAAUUUAUGUUAAGUCAAGAUGUGGUUAAUAAAUAAGUAUAUAAUGGGUUACAUUAAAUUUUAUUUUUGGAUUUUAAAUGAAAAUUAAGAUGAAAUUGGAUUUAAUAGUAAAUUUAUUUAUUUAAUUAAUAUGAAUAAAGAUCUAAAAUAUGUACAUAUUGCCCGUCAUUCUUAUUAAAAAUAAGACAAGUCGUAACAAAGUAAAUGUACUGGAAAGUGUAUUUAGAAAGAAAAUAAAUAUCUAAA